UUCCCACCUUCAGAACUCUGCUUCUAAUAGUUUGUUGACAGUGCAAUUCAUAACCAGGAGCUUGCUCCCAAUUACCAUUUUCUGCAGUGAUAGAGUUCUUGUCUCUCCUCUUUGCAAGUGCAUGUAAAAGAAAGGACAGGCCUGGGCUAUCCCUCUCUGAUAAAAAAA